AGACCCGAAACCCGGUGAUCUAGCCAUGGGCAGGUUGAAGGUUGGGUAACACUAACUGGAGGACCGAACCGACUAAUGUUGAAAAAUUAGCGGAUGACCUGUGGCUGGGGGUGAAAGGCCAAUCAAACCGGGAGAUAGCUGGUUCUCCCCGAAAGCUAUUUAGGUAGCGCCUCGUGAAUUCAUCUCCGGGGGUAGAGCACUGUUUCGGCUAGGGGGCCAUCCCGGCUUACCAACCCGAUGCAAACUGCGAAUACCGGAGAAUGUUAUCACGGGAGACACACGGCGGGUGCUAACGUCCGUCGUGAAGAGGGAAACAACCCAGACCGCCAGCUAAGGUCCCAAAGUCAUGGUUAAGUGGGAAACGAUGUGGGAAGGCCCAGACAGCCAGGAUGUUGGCUUAGAAGCAGCCAUCAUUUAAAGAAAGCGUAAUAGCUCACUGGUCGAGUCGGCCUGCGCGGAAGAUGUAACGGGGCUAAACCAUGCACCGAAGCUGCGGCAGCGAACGUAUCACCCAAGACAACUUUACGGAGUUGACGAUUGACGGAGCGAAGCGACGUCAAAGCGUUCAUUAAAGUCGAGUUGGCUUAGGGAUACGUUCGUUGGGUAGGGGAGCGUUCUGUAAGCCUGUGAAGGUGUGUCGUGAGGCAUGCUGGAGGUAUCAGAAGUGCGAAUGCUGACAUAAGUAACGAUAAAGCGGGUGAAAAGCCCGCUCGCCGGAAGACCAAGGGUUCCUGUCCAACGUUAAUCGGGGCAGGGUGAGUCGACCCCUAAGGCGAGGCCGAAAGGCGUAGUCGAUGGGAAACGGGUUAAUAUUCCCGUACUUGGUGUUACUGCGAAGGGGGGACGGAGAAGGCUAUGUUGGCCGGGCGACGGUUGUCCCGGUUUAAGCGUGUAGGUGUGUGUUCCAGGUAAAUCCGGUUCACUUUAACACUGAGGCGUGACGACGAGGCACUACGGUGCUGAAGCAACAAAUGCCCUGCUUCCAGGAAAAGCCUCUAAGCAUCAGGUAACACGAAAUCGUACCCCAAACCGACACAGGUGGUCAGGUAGAGAAUACCAAGGCGCUUGAGAGAACUCGGGUGA
rnacentral:rRNA from 1 species